UGAGGCCACUGCGAGUUUGUGAUC
rnacentral:siRNA from 1 species